CUCGAUGGUGGUUGUGCGCAGGGCACCCUCGGGUGCGCCGGUAAAGCUAGCUCCCCGGUCUACUAACCUGCGCACAGCCGCCUCCAUU
rnacentral:antisense_RNA from 1 species